GGAUCAACUUGCUGGUCGUGCCUCUGGUACGUACUGGUAUUGUUGGUUUCUCCCUUCUGACGAACCAUGAUGUCAUUUAUUUGGUGUUGUGGGGAAUCAGGACUGUUACUUUGAAAAAAUUAGAGUGUUUAAAGCAGGCUCACGCUUGAAUACAUUAGCAUGGAAUAAUGAAAUAGGACGUUUGAUUCUAUUUUGUUGGUUUCUAGGACCGAUGUA
rnacentral:rRNA from 1 species